rnacentral:lncRNA from 1 species
AGCAUCAAGUUUAUUUCCAGGCAGCAGGCGAGCAGGGCUGAGAACUUGUCCCAGGCUACAAGCCUCCCUGCUGACAACAGAAGCAGGGCUUUCAGGUUUUAUGCCUCUCUGCCUGCCACAGCUUCUGUGCUUGUAUCUGCACUCCCUGUUUGACCCCCUCCCCAGAUUCUGUCCAGGAAACUUCAUGUUCGGUAGAAAUUGUUAUAAAAUUCAACUGGAAGUUUUCCUCUCCCUCUGGUUUUUCCUCAAUUCCACUGGCAGCCCUCCCCAAGUUGCAAGAUAAAGACAGAAAAGGCUUCCCUGAGGACUGAGAGUGCCCACAGGGCUCUUGCUGCUGCUUUCUCUACCCCUAUAUUUUGUGCGGCUCUCAGCAUUUGUCUCAGCUCCAGGGAGAAGAGAAGGAAAAGCAGAUGAGUGAACAAGGGCAGAUGGUGCUGGAGAAUUCCAUCAAGUGGGCAUCAAGAAGGGACUGGAGGUUAAAACCUUUGGGAUAAAGAAGAAGAAAAAAAGACAAGCUGGUAAAAAAUGGCACCUGGGCACUGUUUGCUGGGCACAAACAUGGCACUGUUUCCUAGGAGAUGAUUCCUCCAGUUCUUUAAGGUAGUAAUGAAUGACAACAAGAAGUUACUUCUCUAUGCUACACACGGUGUAGAAUCCAGAGCCUGACUGGCUGUGACGCGCCCAUGGUGACACCAAGGGGACUCUGCAUGGGCACAUCCCGGCCCUCCUCCCUGCAUGUUCUCCAAGCCAGGUCUUUGAAACCUCCAGUGAUGGGAAUGACAGAAUCUGGGAUGAUUUUCUUCUGUUUCUUAUCUAAAAAAACAACAAAAAGCUCAGCAUACACGGACUCACACAAACCUUUUGCUAGAGGCAGCUCUGUAGACUUAAGACGCUGUCAUUUUUCAGAAGAACCCAGCUUGCUUUGGAACUACAGUCAGCCCUGCAACCCACCCUCACCUUGGACCCUGCUGCUGCUGUCUGUAAAGGGUCUGGAUGAAGGAAGGGAGCCUCCAGCUUGUCGGCUGUACUUGCCCAGAAUUUAGCCUUUGCAACAUGGAGCUGCGGGGAUGGGAAAUGUUGUCCACUAGCCUUCCACAAUGCUGCGAUGAAUACACCUGUGCAUUCUUUUUUAGAACAAGUGUAAGAAUUCCUAUGUGGUAAGUCUGUUUAAAGAGAAUUUCAGAUUCACGUGUAGAUGUGUUAAGUUUGAGCGAUGUUGCCAAACUCUCUUGAACUUAUACCCUCUGUAAUAAUAUAUUGGGAUAUUUGUUUCCUUUUGUUCUUGUCAGUUUUCAUACUAUAAAACUUAAACAUGUUUGACAA